UACGUAGGGCGCAAGCGUUGUCCGGAAUUAUUGGGCGUAAAGAGCUCGUAGGCGGCUUGUCGCGUCGACUGUGAAAACCCGUGGCUCAACCAUGUGGUCUGCAGUCGAUACGGGCAGGCUAGAGUUCGGUAGGGGAGACUGGAAUUCCUGGUGUAGCGGUGAAAUGCGCAGAUAUCAGGAGGAACACCGGUGGCGAAGGCGGGUCUCUGGGCCGAUACUGACGCUGAGGAGCGAAAGCGUGGGGAGCGAACAGG
rnacentral:rRNA from 1 species